GGGUCCUUAGCUCAGUCGGUAGAGCAGUAGACUUUUAAUCUAUUGGUCGCGCGUUCGAGUCGCGCAGGACCCACCA
rnacentral:tRNA from 1 species